AAAUUGGUUUCAAUAGAAACCAUACAAUAUACACAUCAAAUCUUAA
rfam:Acanthisitta chloris contig16211, whole genome shotgun sequence.